rnacentral:rRNA from 1 species
CCUACGGGGGGCAGCAGUGAGGAAUCUUCCACAAUGGACGAAAGUCUGAUGGAGCGACACCGCGUGAAGGAUGACGCCUUAUUCGGGUGUAAACUUCUGUUCUGAGGGACGAAACUUUUGACGGUACCUCAGGAGAAAGCACCGGCUAAUUCCGUGCCAGCAGCCGCGGUAAGACGGAAGGUGCAAGCGUUACUCGGAAUUACUGGGCGUAAAGCGUCCGCAGGCUUCUUUGUCAGUCUGGUGUAAAAGCACGGAGCUCAACUCCGUGUCCGUGUCGGAAACUGCAGAGAUAGAGUCAUUCAGAGGCAUCUGGAAUGCCGUGUGUAGGGGUAAUAUCCGUUGAUCCACGGUAGAACGCCAAAAGCGAAAGCAGGAUGCUGGGGAUGUACUGACGCUCAGGGACGGAAGCGUGGGGAGCGAAGGGGAUUAGAUACCCGAGUAGUC